AAUAACCCAGGUAAAGCGGAUAAGCGAUUUUUCUGGAACGCAAUAAGAGAUGGCUUUACAAGUUGCGGCUGCGUAGACGAGUGACCCCUCUGACUACGCCAUGACAGUUGGUUCAAAGCGACUGGUGCCUUUCGUUUAUUUUUGUGACAAAAAAAUUGUUUAGUGUGUUCUUCUUACGAUUUUCGAUCAGAAUAGUGUUUAAGUAUAAACGUAAAACAAAUAAGAAACGUAAAUGGUAUUAACUUCUACACCAGUUAAAAGCAAACAAGCAAUAAAAUACAAAAAAA